rnacentral:rRNA from 1 species
UUCCAGACUCCUACGGGAGGCAGCAGUGGGGGAUAUUGCACAAUGGGGGAAACCCUGAUGCAGCGACGCCGCGUGGGUGAAGAAGCGCCUCGGCGCGUAAAGCCCUGUCAGCAGGGAAGAAAAUGACGGUACCUGAAGAAGAAGCCCCGGCUAACUACGUGCCAGCAGCCGCGGUAAUGCGUAGGGGGCGAGCGUUAUCCGGAUUCACUGGGUGUAAAGGGAGCGUAGACGGCGACGCAAGUCUGGAGUGAAAGCCCGGGGCCCAACCCCGGGACUGCUCUGGAAACUGUGCGGCUAGAGUACUGGAGGGGCAGGCGGAAUUCCUAGUGUAGCGGUGAAAUGCGUAGAUAUUAGGAGGAACACCAGUGGCGAAGGCGGCCUGCUGGACAGUAACUGACGUUGAGGCUCGAAAGCGUGGGGAGCAAACAGGAUUAGAUACCAGUAC